rnacentral:rRNA from 2 species
GUAGUCAUAUGCUUGUCUCAAAGAUUAAGCCAUGCAUGUCUAAGUAUAAGCACUUUAUACUGUGAAACUGCGAACGGCUCAUUAAAUCAGUUAUCGUUUAUUUGAUAGUACCUUACUACAUGGAUACCUGUGGUAAUUCCAGAGCUAAUACAUGCUGAAAACCCCAACUUCGGAAGGGGUGUAUUUAUUAGAUAAAAAACCAAUGCCCUUCGGGGCUCCUUGGUGAAUCAUAAUAACUUAACGAAUCGCAUGGCCUUGCGCCGGCGAUGGUUCAUUCAAAUUUCUGCCCUAUCAACUUUCGAUGGUAGGAUAGUGGCCUACCAUGGUGGCAACGGGUAACGGGGAAU